rnacentral:rRNA from 1 species
AUGCACGCUGGCGGCGUGCCUAACACAUGCCAGUCGAACGGAGAUUACGGACGGAAGUUUUCGGAUGGAAGCCUGUAAUUCUUAGUGGCGGACGGGUGAGUAACGCGUGGGCAACCUGCCCUAUACAGGGGGAUAGCAGCUGGAAACGGCUGGUAAGACCGCAUAAGUCGGUUAAAUCGCAUGAUUUGAUCGGGAAAUGAGCAAUCAGGUAUAGGAUGGGCCCGCGUCCGAUUAGCCAGUUGGCAGGGUAAAAGCCUACCAAAGCGACGAUCGGUAGCCGGACUGAGAGGUCGGACGGCCACAUUGGGACUGAGACACGGCCCAAACUCCUACGGGAGGCAGCAGUGGGGGAUAUUGCACAAUGGAGGAAACUCUGAUGCAGCGACGCCGCGUGAGUGAAGAAGUAUUUCGGUAUGUAAAGCUCUAUCAGCAGGGAAGAUGAUGACGGUACCUGACUAAGAAGCCCCGGCUAACUACGUG